rnacentral:rRNA from 1 species
AUUGAACGCUGGCGGCAUGCCUUACACAUGCAAGUCGAACGGCAGCACGGGAGCAAUCCUGGUGGCGAGUGGCGAACGGGUGAGUAAUAUAUCGGAACGUGCCCAGUCGUGGGGGAUAACGCAGCGAAAGCUGUGCUAAUACCGCAUACGAUCUACGGAUGAAAGCGGGGGAUCGCAAGACCUCGCGCGAUUGGAGCGGCCGAUAUCAGAUUAGCUAGUUGGUGAGGUAAAGGCUCACCAAGGCGACGAUCUGUAGCUGGUCUGAGAGGACGACCAGCCACACUGGAACUGAGACACGGUCCAGACUCCUACGGGAGGCAGCAGUGGGGAAUUUUGGACAAUGGGCGCAAGCCUGAUCCAGCAAUGCCGCGUGCAGGAUGAAGGCCUUCGGGUUGUAAACUGCUUUUGUACGGAACGAAACGGCGAGCUCUAAUACAGUUUGCUAAUGACGGUACCGUAAGAAUAAGCACCGGCUAACUACGUGCCAGCAGCCGCCGUAAUAC